GUGGGGAAUAUUGGACAAUGGGCGCAAGCCUGAUCCAGCCAUGCCGCGUGAGUGAUGACGGCCCUAGGGUUGUAAAGCUCUUUUACCCGGGAAGAUAAUGACGGUACCGGGAGAAUAAGCCCCGGCUAACUUCGUGCCAGCAGCCGCGGUAAUACGAAGGGGGCUAGCGUUGUUCGGAAUCACUGGGCGUAAAGCGCACGUAGGCGGAUCUUUAAGUCAGGGGUGAAAUCCCGGGGCUCAACCCCGGAACUGCCUUUGAUACUGGAGAUCUCGAGUUCGGGAGAGGUGAGUGGAACUGCGAGUGUAGAGGUGAAAUUCGUAGAUAUUCGCAAGAACACCAGUGGCGAAGGCGGCUCACUGGCCCGAUACUGACGCUGAGGUGCGAAAGCGUGGGGAGCAAACAGGAUUAGAAACCCCUGUAGUCC
rnacentral:rRNA from 1 species